rnacentral:lncRNA from 1 species
AAGCCACUGGCUCCAUGAAGAGUCAGGAAGCUGGUGACAAAGAAAUCGGAGGGCUGGAGGGUAAAAGCAGGCGAAGGUGAUACUCAGAGGAGAAGGACACUGGAGAAGUCAGUCCUGAACCCACCAAUGAGGCUUGCCCUCUCUCACCUGCUGCCAUGUAAGAUGUGCCUGCUUCACCUUCUGCCAUGAUUGUCUGUUUCCUGAGGCCUCCCCAGGCAUGUGGAACUGCUUUUGGGAAGGAAGAGAAGGCCCCUGAACCAUCCAUGGAUGGCAGUUAUCAAGUCUACAGAAACAUCAAAUGAAAGGUUAUCUUACCAAGUGUUAUCAUCUCUACUCAAAAACUCUACUGGCAAGUAAAUCAGAAGAAAUGGGCUAAAAUUACAACAUGAAAAAUAUAAGUUAGGCAUGCAGGGAAGUUUCCUACCUUAGAGGGUUGGUACAUAUUGUUAAAUAUCUUGAGGUUAGUUGACAGCUUUUCCUUCCAAAUCUGUCUGUGGGGAGUGAUGAGGGAAGGAGAGAAAUGACUGACAUUUAUUGUUAAGAAGGAGCUGGAAGUCUCAUGC